AGAUCGCACAGGUUCUUGGCUUUUGCACCUACGCGCUGUUUCUGACUGCAUGCCGAUUCUCGCUGCGGCUGGGCAUUACAAGUACUUGAAAUCGGUACACUUUUAUGUCCAAGAGAUGAGUCAGCUUCACAUCAACCACCCAGAUGUGUUCAGAAAAUUCAAAAUGGUUUGUAUUAGGGCCCGACCGAUAUAGAUUUUUGAGUGCCGAU